GACGAACGCUGGUGGCGUGCCUAAUACAUGCAAGUCGAGCGGACCAAUAGAAGCUUGCUUCUGUUGGUUAGCGGCGGACGGGUGAGUAACACGUGGGCAACCUGCCUGUAAGACUGGGAUGACUUCGGGAAACCGGAGCUAAUACCGGAUAAUUCAUCCCCUCGCAUGAGGGGAUGCUGAAAGUCGGUUUACGCUGACACUUACAGAUGGGCCCGCGGCGCAUUAGCUAGUUGGUGAGGUAAUGGCUCACCAAGGCGACGAUGCGUAGCCGACCUGAGAGGGUGAUGGGCCAGACUGGGACUGGGACACGGCCCAGACUCCUACGGGAGGCAGCAGUAGGGAAUCUUCCACAAUGGACGAAAGUCUGAUGGAGCAACGCCGCGUGAGCGAUGAAGGCCUUCGGGUCGUAAAGCUCUGUUGUUAGGGAAGAACAAGUAUCGGAGUAACUGCCGGUACCUUGACGGUACCUAACCAGAAAGCCACGGCUAACUACGUGCCAGCCGCCGCCGUAA
rnacentral:rRNA from 1 species